UUUUUUAAUCAAAAUAGAUUUCUAACUUGAGAUAUCAGACCUUCUCUGGGCUCCGUCUGGCAGACUUGUAACAAGACUCCUGUCACUUGACCUUUGGGGACAACAGGUCUUUUCAGUGUCCAAGGGAGGUGUUCAGGGCUGGACUCUGUCUCACUGGGUGGGAAAGGAGUUGAGGGCCCAGCUGUGGUUACAUGUUUGUUUGUUUUUCUGCUCCCUUCAUGGAGAGCAAUGAGCUUGACUUAUAAAAGUGAAAAGAAAAAACGGUUCCUCUCAUUUCCAUUUUGGCGGCCCGGAAUAGAAGCUUGGUUUGCAUAGGUGGGAACUGGAAGCGCCACGCUAAGACAGCGCAGUUGGCGUCCUGGGGUGGAAAUAGAACAGAUCCCUCUCCACACAUGCCUGCUGCGGUGACAGCUGCUGGGUUCUGUUGUUGUGUUCUGCUUUUGCUUGUUGAGACAGGGUCUCAUUAUGAUGCCCCGGCUGUCUUGAAACUCACCGUGUAAACCAUGCUGGCCCAGAACUCAUAGAGCUCCUCCUGCAUCUGCCUCCCAAGUGCUGGAAUUAAAGGUGUGCCACCAGGACUGGUACCACCACUCGCCGACUUUUCUUUUAAAGAUAGGGUCUAACUGUAGCCCAGGCUUGCCUCCACCUUGCUGAGGAUAACCUUGCCCCUCUGAGCCUCCUGCCUCGGACCCCACACCCACCGAUGUUCCUGAUUCUAACAGCACGGGGUGCUCGCUCACUUUCGCCCUCUGUCUCUGCAGGAAGAGUGGCUUCUCUUUCUGUACCUGUUUUACCCUCAUGGCCAGCAACAGUGCCAGCAAACAAACAUCCUCUGAGAAGAUUUGUGAAGGAACAAAGGAUCAGUCAGCCUUCAGAAGCCUCCUUAGCAGGACUCCACCAGCAGAGCUGAGCAGAGGCCAUCGGCUGAGGGGACAGGAAGGCAGGACUGCCUCUGCCCAGAAAUGAGGAAAUGGUAGUUUGGUCUGCGCCUCAUCUGACUGAGACCUCCGUCAACACCACCCUGCACCCUUCCUUAAGCAGAACAGAAGGGGAUGCCCAGGGACGCAAGGCGGAGGACAAGGCACAGAGGUGACUGCCUGCCUCACCCCGAGGGGCACAGAGAUGAGGCUGAGUGCCAAGGGAGGGUCCAGGCUCUCUCCUAUAUUCCAGCCUGGCCUUGAACUCACUAUCUCCCUGAGGGUGGCCUGGAACUCCUGGAACUCCUGAUCCUCCUGUCUCCACUUCCCAAGUGCUGGGAUUUCCGGCAUGCACCUGGCUUGAAUGGAAACUCUUCUGCACAGUCUCACACUCGGAAUCCCCAGUGCAGGCAAGUUAAUGGGAAUCGGAAUCAGGAGAGAUGACCGUGCAACCAUGGUGACCACCGAAAAAGGAGACUCACCCAGCACAGCCAAGAAGUACAACUGAAGAAGCCUCAUGCUUCUGCGGGAGUGGGGCUGUGUGUGGCCUCCGCUCAGGCUUCCUCAUCUGCCCUCUCCACCCUAA